AAAGUUCUCUGUCCUAUCGCGGGCAUCUUCGGAUGCAUGAGGAAAGUCGGGGCAACAAAGGGCACCAUACUUCCUAACAGGAAGGCUUCUAAUUUGUUAGGAGACAGCUAGUGCAGCAGAAAGCAAACCGCCAUAGCCUUUAUGGCUAGGGUAAGGGUGAAACCGUGAGGUAAGAGCUCACGCCUGCAAUGGGUGACCAUUGCUUGAUGUAAACCUUAUGGGUUGAAAGACCAAAUAAACCAGGGAUUUUUCGCUAGUCGGAAAAGGAGGUCGGCCCGGCCAAGCCUGGAGGGUAGGUUGAUGGAGGUAUUGGGCAACCAAUAUCCUAGAUAAAUGAUAGGAAUUUGCUUUCGAGCAGAUACAGGAUCCCGCUUAUAGGAGAACUUUUUUA
rnacentral:RNase_P_RNA from 1 species